rnacentral:rRNA from 1 species
GACGAACGCUGGCGGCGUGCUUAACACAUGCAAGUCGAACGAUGAAGCCGGAGCUUGCUCUGGUGAAUUAGUGGCGAACGGGUGAGUAACACGUGAGUAACCUGCCCUUGACUCUGGGAUAACUGCUAGAAAUGGUAGCUAAUACCGGAUACGACCCUCGGAGGCAUCUUCAGGGGGUGGAAAGAAUUUCGGUCAAGGAUGGACUCGCGGCCUAUCAGCUAGUUGGUGAGGUAAUGGCUCACCAAGGCGACGACGGGUAGCCGGCCUGAGAGGGUGACCGGCCACACUGGGACUGAGACACGGCCCAGACUCCUUCGGGAGGCAGCAGUGGGGAAUAUUGCACAAUGGGCGCAAGCCUGAUGCAGCAACGCCGCGUGAGGGAUGACGGCCUUCGGGUUGUAAACCUCUUUUAGUAGGGAAGAAGCGAAUGUGACGGUACCUGCAGAAAAAGCACCGGCUAACCACGUGCCAGCCGCCGCCGUAA